ACACACACACACACAUUGAUCCACACUGACACAUUGAUCCAUACUGACACACACACACACACACACACAUUGAUCCACACUGACACACACACACACACAUUGAUCCAUACUGACACACACACACACACACAUUUAGUCCACACUGACACAUUGAUCCAUACUGACACACACACACACACAUUGAUCCACACUGACACAUUGAUCCAUACUGACACACACACACACACACACACAUUGAUCCACACUGACA